CUGGGGAGCGGAACGGCAUGGGAGGGCCGGCCGCAGCGGGUGACAGCCCCGUACGCGAACCCAGACCGGACGGCGCGACGCGGUCCCUGAGUAGGGCCGGGCACGUGAAACCCGGUCCGAACCUGGGUGGACCACCAUCCAAGCCUGAGUACUACCCUGUGACCGAUAGCGCACCAGUACCGUGAGGGAAAGGUGAAAAGCACCCCGGGAGGGGAGUGAAACAGUACCUGAAACCGUGCGCCCACGAGCAGUCGGAGCAACUUUACGUUGUGACGGCGUGCCUUUUGUAGAAUGAGCCAGCGAGUCGCUGGCGCGGGGCGAGGUUAACCGAAAGGGAGCCGAAGCGAAAGCGAGCCUUAACAGGGCGACUUGAGUCCCGCGCCGCGGACGCGAAGCCGGGUGAGCUAUCCGUGGGCAGGCUGAAGCGGGGGUAAGACCCCGUGGAGGGCCGAACGCACGUCGGUUGAAAACGGCGGCGAUGACCUGCGGAUAGGGGUGAAAGGCCAAUCAAACCCGGAGAUAUCUCGUUCUCCCCGAAAUAGCUUUAGGGCUAGCGUCGCGCGUUCACCGCCGGAGGUAGAGCACCGGAUGGACGAGGGGGCUUCGCCGCCUACCGAAUCCAACCGAACUCCGAAUGCCGGCGGCCCAGAGCGCGGCAGUCAGAGCAUGUGGGCUAAGCUGUGUGCUCGAGAGGGAAACAGCCCGGACCGCCCGCUAAGGUCCCCAAGUUCCAGCCGAGUGGCAAAGGAUGUGCGUCCGCCCAGACAACCAGGAUGUUGGCUUAGAAGCAGCCAUCCAUUCAAAGAGUGCGUAACAGCUCACUGGUCGAGUGGACAUGCGCCGACAAUACACGGGGCUAAGCUGGACACCGAAGCGGCGGGAUUUUGAUUUUCAGAAUCGGUAGGGGAGCUUCCCAUGGGCGGAGAAGCCGGAGGGCGACCGACGGUGGAGCGCAUGGGAGUGAGAAUGCUGGCAUGAGUAGCGAGAGACGAGAGAGUAACUCGUCCGCCGUGAACCCGAGGUUUCCUGGGCAAGGCUAAUCCUCCCAGGGUCAGUCGGGGGCUAAGGCGAGGCCGGUAGGCGUAGCCGACGCGCAGCAGGCAGACAUUCCUGCACCGCGCACGCGGCGCUACGACCGACGGGGCGACGGAUGGGGGUGGCUCGGCGGGGUUCUGGACGUCCCCGUGAUGGAGCGCGGCCCGCGGACCAGGGAAAUCCGGUCCGCACGAAGGGCGAGGCUCCGGACGAAGCGACUGAGCGAAGCGAGUGAGCCCGAGGUCCCUAGAAAAACCCCUAGGCAGGCGCGUGCGCGCCCGUACCGCAAACCGACACAGGUGGGUGGGUAGAACAUACCGAGGCGAUCGGGUCAACCAUGGUCAAGGAACUCGGCACAAUGGCCCCGUAACUUCGGGAGAAGGGGUGCCCGCGCGUACGUGAACCGGCUCGCCCGGGGAGCGGAGGCGGGCCGCAGUGGAGAGGCCCAAGCGACUGUUUACCAAAAACACAGGACUCUGCAGAAGCCGCAAGGCGACGUAUAGGGUCUGACGCCUGCCCGGUGCCGGAAGGUCACGCGGAGGAGUUAGCGCAUCGCGCGAAGCCCCGAAGCCAAGCCCCGGUAAACGGCGGCCGUAACUAUAACGGUCCUAAGGUAGCGAAAUUCCUUGUCGGGUAAGUUCCGACCUGCACGAAAGGCGCAACGACUUGGGCGCUGUCUCGACCAUGGACCCGGUGAAAUUGCACUGGUCGUGAAGAUGCGACUUACCCGCGGAAGGACGGAAAGACCCCGUGAACCUUCACUGCAGCUUGGCAUUGGCCGCUGGUCCCGCGUGUAGAGGAUAGGCAGGAGGCAUCGAUCCGGAGGCGCCAGCCCCCGGGGAGCCGCCCUUGGAAUACUGCCCUCGCGCGACCGGCGUCCUAACCCGAGGCCGUCAACCGGCUCGGGGACCGUGCCAGGCGGGCAGUUUGACUGGGGCGGUCGCCUCCUAAAGGGUAACGGAGGCGCGCGAAGGUCCGCUCGGGACGGUCGGCAACCGUCCUUUUGAAUGCAAGAGUACAAGCGGGCUUGACUGCGAGGCCCACAAGCCGAGCAGGUGCGAAAGCAGGCUCUAGUGAUCCGGCGGCCCCGAGUGGGUGGGCCGUCGCUCAACGGAUAAAAGGUACUCCGGGGAUAACAGG
rnacentral:rRNA from 1 species